GACGAACGCUGGCGGCGUGCUUAACACAUGCAAGUCGAACGCUGAAUCCCUGGCUUUUGUUGGGUUGGAUGAGUGGCGAACGGGUGAGUAACACGUGAGUAACCUGCCCUCUUCUUUGGGAUAACGCCCGGAAACGGGUGCUAAUACUGGAUAUUCACUGAUCUUCGCAUGGGGGUUGGUGGAAAGGUUUGUUCUGGUUGGGGAUGGGCUCGCGGCCUAUCAGCUUGUUGGUGGGGUGAUGGCCUACCAAGGCUUUGACGGGUAGCCGGCCUGAGAGGGUGACCGGUCACAUUGGGACGGAGAUACGGCCCAGACUCCGACGGGAGGCAGCAGUGGGGAAUAUUGCACAAUGGGCGAAAGCCUGAUGCAGCGACGCCGCGUGAGGGAUGGAGGCCUUCGGGUUGUAAACCUCUUUCGCUCAUGGUCAAGACGCAACUGUGGGUUGUGGUGAGGGUAGUGGGUAAAGAAGCGCCGGCUAACUACGUG
rnacentral:rRNA from 1 species